rnacentral:sRNA from 1 species
UGUAAUUUGAAACCGCCACGAUUCAAAA